GACGAACGUUGGCGGCGUGCUUAACACAUGCAAGUCGAACGGAAAGGCCCUGCUUUUGUGGGGUGCUCGAGUGGCGAACGGGUGAGUAACACGUGAGUAACCUGCCCUUGACUUUGGGAUAACUUCAGGAAACUGGGGCUAAUACCGGAUAGGAGCUCCUGCUGCAUGGUGGGGGUUGGAAAGUUUCGGCGGUUGUGGAUGGACUCGCGGCUUAUCAGCUUGUUGGUGGGGUAGUGGCUUACCAAGGCUUUGACGGGUAGCCGGCCUGAGAGGGUGACCGGCCACAUUGGGACUGAGAUACGGCCCAGACUCCUACGGGAGGCAGCAGUGGGGAAUAUUGCACAAUGGGCGGAAGCCUGAUGCAGCAACGCCGCGUGCGGGAUGACGGCCUUCGGGUUGUAAACCGCUUUCGCCUGUGACGAAGCGUGAGUGACGGUAAUGGGUAAAGAAGCACCGGCUAACCACGUG
rnacentral:rRNA from 1 species